rnacentral:rRNA from 1 species
UACGGAGGAUGCGAGCGUUAUCCGGAUUUAUUGGGUUUAAAGGGUGCAUAGGCGGACUGUCAAGUCAGCGGUAAAAUUGAGAGGCUCAACCUCUUCCCGCCGUUGAAACUGGUGGUCUUGAGUGGAUGAGAAGUACGCGGAAUGCGUGGUGUAGCGGUGAAAUGCAUAGAUAUCACGCAGAACUCCGAUUGCGAAGGCAGCGUACCGGCAUCCAACUGACGCUGAGGCACGAAAGCGUGGGGAUCAAACAGG